rnacentral:rRNA from 1 species
UGACAAACCGGAGGAAGGGUGGGGAGUGACGUCAAGUCAUCAUGGCCCUUACGGCCUGGGCUACACACGUGCUACAAUGGUCGGUACAAAGGGUUGCCAAGCCGCGAGGUGGAGCUAAUCCCAUAAAACCGAUCGUAGUCCGGAUCGCAGUCUGCAACUCGACUGCGUGAAGUCGGAAUCGCUAGUAAUCGUGAAUCAGAAUGUCACGGUGAAUACGUUCCCGGGCCUU